AGUCUGCGCAUUUGUCUCUCUG
rnacentral:misc_RNA from 1 species